rnacentral:rRNA from 1 species
GUCUUCGACGUCCGAGUUGUAAUUUGAAGAAGGCGACUUUGUAGCUGGUCCUUGUCUAUGUUCCUUGGAACAGGACGUCAUAGAGGGUGAGAAUCCCGUGUGGCGAGGAUCCCAGUUAUUUGUAAAGUGCUUUCGACGAGUCGAGUUGUUUGGGAAUGCAGCUCUAAGUGGGUGGUAAAUUCCAUCUAAAGCUAAAUAUUGGCGAGAGACCGAUAGCGAACAAGUACAGUGAUGGAAAGAUGAAAAGAACUUUGAAAAGAGAGUGAAAAAGUACGUGAAAUUGUUGAAAGGGAAGGGCAUUUGAUCAGACAUGGCGUUUGCUUCGGCUUUCGCUGGGCCAGCAUCAGUUUUAGCGGUUGGAUAAAUCCUCGGGAAUGUGGCUCUGCUUCGGUAGAGUGUUAUAGCCCGUGGGAAUACAGCCAGCUGGGACUGAGGAUUG